rnacentral:rRNA from 1 species
GGAGCGGAUACCAUUUCCCCAGGAACAGUAAUGACAUGAUCCGCCAGGCUGGUACCGAGUUGGAUCCCAUAGUACGGCGGCCAGUGGUUGGAAUCGGCUUAUUAGAUACCCUGGUAGUCCACCCCGUAAACGAUGAUUAUAGGUGUCGGGGGACCCAAGGUCUCCGGGUGCGGGCGCAAACGCAUUAAGUAAUCCACCUGGGGAGUACGUUCGCAAGAAUGAAACUCAAAGGAAUGACGGGGGACCGGCACAAGCGGUGGAGCAUGUGGUNUAUUCGAAGCAACGCGAAGAACCUUACCUGGUCUUGACAUCCGNGUGACGCAUGGGCAAUGCCAUGUUUCCCUCAGGACACCGGAGACAGGUGGUGCAUGGUUGUCGUCAGCUCGUGUCGUGAGAUGUUGGGUUAAGUCCCGCAACGAGCGCAACCCCUAUUUCCAGUAACCAGCAUUUCGGAUGGGGACUCUGGAGAGACUGCCCGGGAGAACCGGGAGGAAGGCGGGGAUGACGUCAAAUCAUCAUGCCCCUUAUGGCCAGGGCGACACACGUGCUACAAUGGCGUAAACAAAGGGAGGCGAAGUGGCGACACGGAGCAAAUCCCAGAAAUAACGUCCCAGUUCGGAUUGUAGUCUGCAACCCGAGUACAUGAAGCUGGAAUCGCUAGUAAUCGCGAAUCAGAAUGUCGCGGUGAAUACGUUCCCGGGUCUUGUACACACCGCCCGUCACACCAUGGGAGUCGGAAAUGCCCGAAGUCAGUGACCCAACCGCAAGGAGGGAGCUGCCGAAGGUGGAGCCGGUAACUGGGGUGAAGUCGUAACAAGG